UACAGAGGUCUCAAGCGUUGUUCGGAUUCAUUGGGCGUAAAGGGCGCGUAGGCGGCGGGGUCAGUCGGGUGUGAAAUCUUGGGGCUUAACCCCGAAACGGCACUCGAAACUGCCCGGCUGGAGGGCCGGAGAGGAGAUCGGAAUUCACGGUGUAGCAGUGAGAUGCGUAGAGAUCGUGAGGAAGACCCGUGGCGAAGGCGGAUCUCUGGACGGCUAACUGACGCUGAGACGCGAAAGCUAGGGGAGCAAACAGG
rnacentral:rRNA from 1 species